rnacentral:tRNA from 1 species
GACGUAGGUAACGCUCAGCAAGGUAGAGCUGCGGCUUGGGAUGCCGGCCGGCAGACCAGCAAGUCGGGCGCGCCCUAAUUGCGAAGUCUCCCUACGUUCCGUGUGCGCGGGUUCGAUUCCCGCUCUACGUCA